AUUGAACGCUGGCGGCAUGCCUUACACAUGCAAGUCGAACGGCAGCAUGGAGAGCUUGCUCUCUGAUGGCGGGUGGCGAACGGGUGAGUAAUGCAUCGGAACGUACCGUGUAAUGGGGGAUAACGUAGCGAAAGUUACGCUAAUACCGCAUACGGCCUGAGGGUGAAAGCAGGGGAUCGCAAGACCUUGCGUUAUACGAGCGGCCGAUGUCAGAUUAGCUAGUUGGUGAGGUAAAGGCUCACCAAGGCGACGAUCUGUAGCGGGUCUGAGAGGAUGAUCCGCAACACUGGGACGGUGACACGGCCCAGACUCCUACGGGAGGCAGCAGUGGGGAAUUUUGGACAAUGGGGGCAACCCUGAUCCAGCCAUGCCGCGUGAGUGAAGAAGGCCUUCGGGUUGUAAAGCUCUUUCGGCCGGGAAGAAAUCGCACAGGCUAAUACUCUGUGUGGAUGACGGUACCGGCAUAAGAAGCACCGGCUAACUACGUGCCAGCAGCCGCCGUAA
rnacentral:rRNA from 1 species